GUACCUAUAUUAUACCUGUAGACAUUUUUUUAAAUGCUUGCUUAAUUAUAGUAACUAAAUAAUUAAUAGUAUUUAAAAUUUCAGGCGUUUUGAGGCCUUUUACUUAUAUGUGGAUUUUCUUACCAUACACAUCCAAAUAUCUAAUUGUCGAGAUACUCAAGUUAGGUAGAUUUAAAAAAUAAGUUAGGCCCGGUUUGUC